AAAAAGUCACUUGUCGCAGAGAAAUAAGGAGCCGGUCUCAACUCUAGAAGAGCAAUCGCAGACUGGCACCAACUGUCAUUUUCUGUUGUUGUUUAUUUAUUAAACCCUGCGAUCCUAUUGGUCGAUGGGUCUGGCUAUUAGAUGGCAGUUGGAAAUUUAAAGAGACAGUACACUCUAAUAAUAGUGCAGUACAAUAGAUGACAUGGGCCUGCGCUAUGAUUACAUCGUCCCAAUGAACCGACGUUUGAAAAACUGCAACAUUGGAAGCCAAAGUUAAAAAAGACAUGAAAACCUCAACAUAAAAAUAUUUUCUGUAUUCUAGUGAAAGUAAAAGGAGGGGCAUCACUUUGCUAUGGCACAGGGCACUUACUUAGAGCUCUAACAUCACUACCGGCUCUUCAGACAUUAUAAUGUCUUACAGCUCCAAGUUCCAGCCCCCAUGAGAGACAUACAGGGAGAUAUAUAGAGCAAGGAAUGCAAGAGGAGGAUUUAAGAAGAGUCUCCUUCUUUUACCGAUAUUUCCAAGGACACAAUUGCCCAGGACUUGUUUUCCUCCUUAUCCACUUACUAAAUCUUCCAAGGAGGAAAAAUGACAUAAAUCUCUAGUCAUUUAUUUGUGAGCCGCCUGUGUGCUCGAGUCGCGCCUGGCACGGCCCGCAUCAGCUGCCACACAGGUCCAGUGAAUCCACUACACCUCCAGCUUCAGACCACUGUGGUAUUGCGGAUCUACUACCCAGAAUUCCAGUCGACUGCGGUAGCAAGAGACUGGUAGUUUCAUUGCCACUUGAUUACUUGGUAAGUGCCAAAUCAUACUGAAGACAACCUCCAAGUUGUUCAAUAUAUAAAAAAAAAAUGUCUCUUAGAGGAAUGGUUGGCUGAGGAAAUGGAAGAAGAAAGUGCACCCAGUGCCUCAUGAUAUAAGUAGCAGCA